rnacentral:misc_RNA from 1 species
CCCCAAUAUCAGCGCAUCCCGUUUCGCGGGGCGGGUGUUGGGGUCAGAGCCACCGAGUAGUGGCCGCAGGCUUGAGGAGAGCCGCCGAGUGGUGGUUCGGGAGGGAAAAUCUGCCAAGCUCAAAGGUCAGGCAAGCGAGAGGUUUACCGGGUCGGAAAGUCGGGCGAGUAAAAAGAUAUACCAAGUCCAAAACACUGCCGGCAACAUACCCGGGACCCCGAGUAAGUCGGGGAAGAAGUUGGCGGAUGUUUUUCCAGCCAACUCAACUUUGACCAAUUUACCUGCCCGAGCUCACGGGUAGGCUGCGGUUAAUUUUUGGACUUUGCGGAUUCACUCGAAUCAAUUCACAGGAAGUUACCUGCCAAAUUGCCUGGGCUCCCGGGUAGGCUAUAGUUGACUUUUGGACUUGGCGGAUUUUUUUAAACUUACUUCCCCCACUAUAACCUGGGAUUUUCCCGACCAUAGCUCACGGGUAGGUUAGUUGUGAUAAGUCCACAAAUAAAUUACAGCCUACCCGGUAGGCCUGUAUAUUUCCCGCGCGAUUUCCUGUGAAGACCAAAAAGUUAGGUGUUUUAGUACUUAAUUUAUAUAGGUAUAAGUUGAUUUUUUUGUUUUUUUUAUAUAUAUAAAUUUUGCGGGAAAUAAAAAAUAAACCACGAGAGCCCGGUAGCGGAGGCGAGCCCUUAAGGUAGUCGGUAAGUAUAUAAGAGAGAGGGCUGGACACGCGUCGCGUCGCGUAUUUCCACCGCACCUAAUACUUUUGGCUUUAGGGUAGGCUGCUUGUUUAGAGGCGCGCUGAAUUAGAUGGUCUCUUAAGUGAGGGGAUUUCUCUGCUGGCAGUUGCCUGUAAUCCGGGAGUCCGUGGUGGUAAAGUCAGCUAUAAGGCUUGUGUGUGUGUGGGUGCGCGGGUGUGUGUGCCGGGGCCCUGUAAGUCCCGACCAGGAACCCUACAGGUCACGUGCCGACACAGUAAGACAGAUAAGAUAUACGGCACGUGUUAGUACACGUGCCAAUACAAGUGACGAUAAGAUCGAUAAGAUACCUGCACUUACCCUGUAGCACUGCUGGUACCGGCCACCGCCGCGUGCACGCGGCUGCCGUCGGCCGUGGUGGAGGGUUACCCGGGACCACGGUGCAUUUUUCCUUUUUUUUCCAUUUUUUCAAAAUCGACGACCAAAAGGUUGGUAGGUCUGGGUUGCCUGGCCGGCCAAUAGAGAUUUGUACGGCGCUACUAUAGGGUAGGUACAGGGUAGGCUGUGCCGGUACUUGCGGUCGCACACAAAUCCCUAGCAGCCUGAAGUACCCCCGCGCGCGGGCAGCUUCAAACCGCUAUAGCUGCUCCCAGCGGCAUCGCAGACAACUAUGAGGGCCACCAUUCGAUUCGUCUCGCCGAGCUGCAUCGAUUGAGCCCGGGUUGCCAAAAAGUCGGGUGUUUUGGUAUUUGAUUUGUAUGGGCGUGAGUCGAUUUUUUUGUUUUCCCAUACAAAUGAAUUUUGCGGAAAAUAAAAAAUGGACCACGAGCGCCCGGUGGCGGAGGUGGACCCUCGAGGUGGUCGGUGGGUAUGUGAGAAGGGGGCGUCGAAAGAUGCCGGGACAGCUGGGUCUUCGCUGAAAGGCAGGAUUUCCGGUGAGUCACCGCCCUCUCUGUACCAUAUCUUGCCGAGCCCCAGUGCUUGAGUGGCCUCCUGAACACGCCUGUGGAAGGUUUCUUUUACAGGCUGGGAGGUCACACUGGGGAUUCAAACUCCACGAAGUCGGCGGCUACGGCCGUGCGGCGUACUGGUUAUACCUCGUGGCAGUGGGAGGCACCCGCCUCUUACCGCUCAGGAGAUGGGUUCUGUGGGCUGCUGGCCGCUGGCCAACAUGCCGUAAAUCAGAAUAACGGGAGGCAACCACGGGUAGCUGACGCCGAAAUGGCAGAGGCUGCACGGAGCGUCCUCCUCUUAGGGCACCUAUACCGCACUCUACGGUGCGUGUGGACGGCUGCGCCUAGGGAAUUGAGAGGGGGAAAGCGGAUUUGCCGCUGGGCGGUCUCUCCCGGUCAAACGGGCAGGGCACCUCCCGGCGCGCAGCACCCUUUCGAGUGGGGGAAAGGUGUGCCGACCAGUAACUUGGACUAUUCUCUCCGGCGCCCUUAACAGGGCGUCGGUAGGCCAACCCCGGCGAACGAUAGU